GGUAGGGACCGUUGAUAAGGCGGAGCUUCUGGGACAGAGGGGAGGAUCUCAUAAACUCUGGGGAGAAGCAGAAGGUAGCAGGGGUAAGGGGCGGCCGGGUGGAGAAAAGGUUGGAGGAGAGAGACACAAAAGAGUCAACCUUGGGGCAGAGCCCAGGGUGACGGUCUGAAGUAUGAGAAGACAGGGUAGCGGGCUUGGGCAUGGGGACAGAGCAGACAUCCUGGUUGUCCCAGAGACCCGAAGAUAGCGAAACACACAGAAAAUGUGUGGACAAUAAUUCCUCGUCCCCCCCCCCCCCCGAGCCCGGGGUGGCCCUGAGCCUUCAGAUAGCUUCUUGACUGACUGGGGUGUGACCGCUGCCACUGUGGAGCUAAGAGAUGAGGGAAAUUUUGGUUCAGUGAGAUGAUCCCAGAAGCAGUGGAGCUCGGGUUGCUCACGCUCUGACACAAGAAGCCAAGGAAGUAGAGGGGCCGCCCGACUGUGCAGCGAAGCAGAGGAGAUGGUGCCGGGAGCUGGAUGGCAGUGUGUGCCCACAGAUCUAAUUACCCUCAUUUACCACGUGUGCUAAUUGCCUCCUGGGUGCCAGGUGGCCGGGUGGGGCCGGCCCAUUUUCAGGAGCACAGCUGACUCCUCUCUCUGGGACAUUUCAACUGGACAAGGUACUUGCGUCCAGUGCCACAGUGCCCUGAAGGCUGGGUCAGAGUUGAAGGAAGGAGGGCGGCCAUGCUAAGGUUUGCUGACUCAAGUCCGUUGGACAGCCUGUUGGGGCCUGCAGAGUCACCACCACAUGGACUGAGCUGAGAGGACGUGGGCUGGAAUCUGUAAAGGAAGGUUCCGGAAAGAGGCUGCACCUGAAGACUGACCAACUGACUGGAACUUUCAGUGCCUAAUCAAGGUUGUUACGCCCAAAUUCGAGCAAUCCCCGCAAGCUAACAAGGAAGCCAAG